rnacentral:rRNA from 1 species
AUUGAACGCUGGCGGCAGGCCUAACACAUGCAAGUCGAACGAGUGGCGGACGGGUGAGUAAUGUCUGGGAAACUGCCUGAUGGAGGGGGAUAACUACUGGAAACGGUAGCUAAUACCGCAUACCAUCGGAUGUGCCCAGAUGGGAUUAGCUAGUAGGUGGGGUAAAGGCUCACCUAGGCGACGAUCCCUAGCUGGGCUGAGAGGAUGACCAGGCACACUGGAACUGAGACACGGUCCAGACUGCUAAGGGAGGCAGCAGGGGGGAAUAUGGCACAAUUGGGGCAAUCCUGAUACAGCCAUGCCGCGUGUAUGAAGAAGGCCUUCGGUUUGUAAAGUACUUGCAGCGGGGAGGCGUUACCCGCAGAAGAAGCACCGGCUAACUCCGUGCCAGCAGCCGCGGUAAUUC